rnacentral:rRNA from 1 species
GAUGAACGCUGGCGGCGUGCCUAACACAUGCAAGUCGAGCGAGAUAAAUGUGAGUGGAGACUUCGGUCAAAGCAAUCAUUUUGAAAGCGGCGGACGGGUGAGUAACGCGUGAGCAAUCUGCCCCAUACAAAGGGAUACCCACUGGAAACGGUGAUUAAUACCUUAUAAGACCACGAAGUCGCCUGGCUUAGUGGCCAAAGAUUUAUCGGUAUGGAACGAGCUCGCGUCUGAUUAGCUAGUUGGUGAGGUAAUGGCUCACCAAGGCGACGAUCAGUAGCCGACCUGAGAGGGUGAACGGCCACACUGGAACUGAGACACAGUCCAGACUCCUACGGGAGGCAGCAGUGGGGAAUAUUGCACAAUGGGCGCAAGCCUGAUGCAGCAACGCCGCGUGAAUGAUGAAGGCCUUCGGGUCGUAAAGUUCUGUCCUAAGGGAAGAAUACAGUGACGGUACCUUAGGAGGAAGCCCCGGCUAACUACGUGCCAGCCGCCGCAGUAA